AUACGUAGGUGGCGAGCGUUGUCCGGAAUUACUGGGCGUAAAGGGCGCGUAGGCGGCCUGUCAAGUCAGAUGUGAAAUCCCCGGGCUUAACCCGGGAACUGCAUUUGAAACUGGCGGGCUUGAGGGCAGGAGAGGAAAGCGGAACUCCCAGUGUAGCGGUGAAAUGCGUAGAUAUUGGGAGGAACACCAGUGGCGAAGGCGGCUUUCUGGACUGUCACUGACGCUGAGGCGCGAAAGCCAGGGGAGCGAACGGGAUUAGAUACCCCGGUAGUCCUGGCUGUAAACGAUGGGUACUAGGUGUUGGGGGUAUCGACCCCUCCAGUGCCGCAGUUAACGCAAUAAGUAUUCCGCCUGGGGAGUACGGUCGCAAGAUUAAA
rnacentral:rRNA from 1 species